CUGGCGGCAGGCCUUAUACAUGCAAGUCGAGCGCAUCCUUCGGGAUGAGCGGCGGACGGGUGAGUAACGCGUGGGAAUGUGCCCUUCUCUACGGAAUAGCCACUGGAAACGGUGAGUAAUACCGUAUACGCCCUUAGGGGGAAAGAUUUAUCGGAGAAGGAUCAGCCCGCGUUAGAUUAGGUAGUUGGUGGGGUAACGGCCUACCAAGCCUACGAUCUAUAGCUGGUUUUAGAGGAUGAUCAGCCACACUGGGACUGAGACACGGCCCAGACUCCUACGGGAGGCAGCAGUAGGGAAUCUUGGACAAUGGGGGAAACCCUGAUCCAGCCAUGCCGCGUGAGUGAAGAAGGCCUUAGGGUCGUAAAGCUCUUUCGCCUGUGAUGAUAAUGACAGUAGCAGGUAAAGAAACCCCGGCUAACUCCGUGCCAGCAGCCGCGGUAAUACGGAGGGGGUUAGCGUUGUUCGGAAUUACUGGGCGUAAAGCGCGCGUAGGCGGAUUGGAAAGUUGGGGGUGAAAUCCCGGGGCUCAACCCCGGAACUGCCUCCAAAACUGCCAGUCUAGAGUUCGAGAGAGGUGAGUGGAACUCCAAGUGUAGAGGUGAAAUUCGUAGAUAUUUGGAAGAACACCAGUGGCGAAGGCGGCUCACUGGCUCGAUACUGACGCUGAGGUGCGAAAGUGUGGGGAGCAAACAGGAUUAGAUACCCUGGUAGUCCACACCGUAAACGAUGAAUGCCAGUCGUCGGGUAGUAUACUAUUCGGUGACACACCUAACGGAUUAAGCAUUCCGCCUGGGGAGUACGGUCGCAGAUUAAAAACUCAAAGGAAUUGACGGGGGCCCGCACAAGCGGUGGAGCAUGUGGUUUAAUUCGAAG
rnacentral:rRNA from 1 species